UGUCCCUGGUCUGGGCAGAGUUGCACCUGGCGUGGUGGUGCUCGUCUCAGACCAGCCAGGGACAAAGCAACCCCUCGUUUACCCCAGGUUGGCUUUCGGUCUGUGCCCAUGCCUGGUUCAUGCCUUGGACACACCG